GUCCCCGCCUGCAGAGUCAGUGUGCGGUUUGGGAGAAAAUGUGUCGGAUAUUUUGGGGCGGUCACGUGGGCGGGCGGGCUCCGAGAGGCCCCGGGACAGUCCCAGCCUAGAGCCGUGCCCCCCAGAAGCCCCCCAUUGCCCCGCAAGCCCCGGACGCGGCGACGCUGCGUCCCGAGACCGCCUGCACCCAGAUCCCGGGGCUCCGCGGCCUCCCUUCCCCGCCCCCCUCCAGGUGAGUCAAGCUGUGAAGCCGGCUCACCGGCCGGGUCCGCCACGGACGCCGGGUCCCGCCGAGCAGUUCCUGCCCAGUCCCCUCAGUCUGACCCAGUAUGUAGGGCAGAAUCUCUGCAGGUGGUCAGAGGGGCUUGUGUCCUGGGCAGCUGGAAUCCUAGUCCUCAAAUCGGAAGCACCAGCUUUUAAAGUGACUUUCCAUGCUGAGGAGUAAGGUGGAGGACUACAGCCUAUAUCC